UACGUAGGGACCAAGCGUUGUUCGGAUUUACUGGGCGUAAAGGGCGCGUAGGCGGAUAUGUAAGUCCGUGGUGAAAUCUCUGGGCUUAACCCGGAAACUGCCAUGGAUACUAUGUGUCUUGAAUGUUGUUGAGGUGAGCGGAAUAUGUCAUGUAGCGGUGAAAUGCUUAGAUAUGACAUAGAACACCAAUUGCGAAGGCAGCUCACUAAGCAAAUAUUGACGCUGAGGCACGAAAGCGUGGGGAGCGAACAGG
rnacentral:rRNA from 1 species